CUAUAUGUAUUUCUUUUGAAACAUGGAGGUUGUACACAAAGGGACAUUGAACGUCUGUGCAGAUUAGGAGUGACUGUGUCCCCAUUGUCAAUGCAGAAUAAUUUGGCUUCAUUACAUCAUAUUCUUAAUUGCAAGAUAAUGCAGUUGAGAGAAGACUGGAUGAAUCAUCAACGUACACAAGUAGCAAAGUAUCAGCUUGUUGGUGACAACUGGGACAAGGAUAUAUUGCCGUCAUAUAGAAAAAGUGAACAGAGUACCCAGUCUCUUAACCUAUUUAAUGUGAUGGUUGUUGUGGAUAGGGUACGAUUUGUUGAAGAGAAGACACAUUCUGUAAAUGAA